AUUGAACGCUGGCGGCAGGCCUAACACAUGCAAGUCGAGCGGACGAACGGAGCUUGUUCCUGGAUUCAGCGGCGGACGGGCGAGUAAUGCACAGGAAUCUGCCUGGUAGUGGGGGAUAACGUCCGGAAACGGGCGCUAAUACCGCAUACGACCAGAUGGUGAAAGUGGGGGAUCUUUGGACCUCACGCUAUCAGAUGAGCCUAGGCCGGAUUAGCUAGUUGGUGGGGUAAAGGCCUACCAAGGCGACGAUCCGUAACUGAUCUGAGAGGAUGAUCAGUCACACUGGAACUGAGACACGGUCCAGACUCCUACGGGAGGCAGCAGUAGGGAAUAUUCGGCAAUGGGCGAAAGCCUGAUCCAGCCAUGCCGCGUGUGUGAAGAAGGUCUUCGGAUUGUAAAGCACUUUAAGUUGGGAGGAAGGGCAGUAAGUUAAUACCUUGCUGUUUUGACGUUACCAACAGAAUAAGCACCGGCUAACUUCGUG
rnacentral:rRNA from 1 species